rnacentral:lncRNA from 1 species
CCUCGAACAAUGCGAAGAACACAAAAGUAUGUGCAAUUCAUCAUCUUCUCCAAUGCUGAGUCGCAACCAGUGCCUGAAAAGCACGGACGAGCCAUAUAUAACGAAACUUGCACGUGUGACUCUGGCCGGGGAUCCUGCUAUGCUGUACUAAUAUGGGUAGGUUCCUGUAAUUCGAGACAAAUAGGAAAAAAUCACUGGGCAUAUGCUUCAUCCAAGACUCAUUCAUAAGCAAAUAUGCAAUCUUGAUAUCUGCUCUCUGUAGAAAGCUUUGCCAUCUGAAA